UGUAUGGUUAAGUGACUAAGCGUACACGGUGGAUGCCUGGGCAGUCAGAGGCGAUGAAGGACGUACUAACUUGCGAUAAGCGCAGAUAAGGCAGUAAGAGCCGUUUGAGUCUGCGAUUUCCGAAUGGGGAAACCCAACUGCAUAAGCAGUUACUGUUAACUGAAUACAUAGGUUAACAGAGCAAACCGGGGGAACUGAAACAUCUAAGUACCCCGAGGAGAAGAAAUCAACCGAGAUUCCGGUAGUAGCGGCGAGCGAACCUGGAUUAGCCCUUAAGCACUCGGUGAAGUAGGUGAACAAGCUGGAAAGCUUGGCGAUACAGGGUGAUAGCCCCGUAACCGACGCUUCAUCGAGCGUGAAAUCGAGUAGGGCGGGACACGUGAUAUC
rnacentral:rRNA from 1 species